CUAAGGUAUGCUUAGUGUUCAUCCACGGAUUCCUUUCAUCCGUAGGAGUCCAAGAACCAUGAUUUAAAUACUAUAUUGUGAUUGUCUUGUUGAGAUAUGAUCAUGUACAUGUUGAUGGUUGUUGUUUAUGCUUCAAGAUGUUAAUUUAGGGUGAUUCUCAUGAAGUAUGUGUGCUUGUAGUUAAAACCCAUGAAAUUGGGU
rnacentral:lncRNA from 1 species